rnacentral:misc_RNA from 1 species
GAUGAAGAACGCAGCGAAAUGCGAUAAGUAAUGUGAAUUGCAGAAUUCAGUGAAUCAUCGAAUCUUUGAACGCACAUUGCGCCCGCCAGCAUUCUGGCGGGCAUGCCUGUUCGAGCGUCAUUUCAACCCUCGAGCCCCCCCGGGGGCCUCGGUGUUGGGUGACGGCACACCAGCCGCCCCCGAAAUGCAGUGGCGACCCCGCCGCAGCCUCCCCUGCGUAGUAGCACACACCUCGCACCGGAGCGCGGAGGCGGUCACGCCGUAAAACGCCCAACUUUCUUAGAGUUGACCUCGGAUCAGGUAGGAAUACCCGCUGAACUUAAGCAUAUCAAUAAGCGGAGGA